GACGAACGCUGGCGGCGUGCUUAACACAUGCAAGUCGAACGGAAAGGCCCUGCUUUUGUGGGGUGCUCGAGUGGCGAACGGGUGAGUAACACGUGAGUAACCUGCCCUUGACUUUGGGAUAACUUCAGGAAACUGGGGCUAAUACCGGAUAGGAGCUCCUGCUGCAUGGUGGGGGUUGGAAAGUUUCGGCGGUUGGGGAUGGACUCGCGGCUUAUCAGCUUGUUGGUGGGGUAGUGGCUUACCAAGGCUUUGACGGGUAGCCGGCCUGAGAGGGUGACCGGCAAAAUGGGGAAGGAGGAAGGACGAAGACGCGGAGGGGGGGAAGAAGGGGGAAAUAUGGAAAAGGGGGGGAGGGCGUGAAGAAGAAACCGGGGGGGGGGGAGGACGGCCUUGGGUUGAAAAACGGUUGUCGCCGGAGAAAAGGCGGGGGGGAAGGGAAGGGAAAAAGAAGAACCGGAAAAAUCAGGG
rnacentral:rRNA from 1 species